rnacentral:rRNA from 1 species
UACGUAGGCAGCAAGCGUUGUUCGGAAUUACUGGGCGUAAAGAGUGUGUAGGCGGUGCUCUAAGUUCGGUGUGAAAUCUCCCGGCUCAACUGGGAGGGUGCGCCGGAAACUGGAAUGCUUGAGCGUGGGAGAGGAAAGCGGAAUUCCCAGUGUAGCGGUGAAAUGCGCAGAUAUCAGGAGGAACACCGGUGGCGAAGGCGGGUCUCUGGGCCGAUACUGACGUGGAGGAGCGAAAAGCGUGGGGAGCGAACAGG